UACGUAGGGUGCGAGCGUUGUCCGGAAUUAUUGGGCGUAAAGAGCUCGUAGGCGGUGUGUCACGUCGGCCGUGAAAACCUGGGGCUUAACUCUGGGCGUGCGGUCGAUACGGGCAUCACUAGAGUUCGGCAGGGGAGACUGGAAUUCCUGGUGUAGCGGUGAAAUGCGCAGAUAUCAGGAGGAACACCGGUGGCGAAGGCGGGUCUCUGGGCAGUAACUGACGCUGAGGAGCGAAAGCGUGGGGAGCGAACCGG
rnacentral:rRNA from 1 species